rnacentral:rRNA from 1 species
UAAUACGAAGGGGGCUAGCGUUGCUCGGAAUCACUGGGCGUAAAGAGCUCGUAGGCGGUUUGUCGCGUCUGCUGUGAAAUCUGGGGGCUCAACCCCCAGCCUGCAGUGGGUACGGGCAGACUAGAGUGCGGUAGGGGAGAUUGGAAUUCCUGGUGUAGCGGUGGAAUGCGCAGAUAUCAGGAGGAACACCGAUGGCGAAGGCAGAUCUCUGGGCCGUAACUGACGCUGAGGAGCGAAAGGGUGGGGAGCAAACAGGCUUAGAUACCCUGGUAGUCCACCCCGUAAACGUUGGGAACUAGUUGUGGGGUCCAUUCCACGGAUUCCGUGACGCAGCUAACGCAUUAAGUUCCCCGCCUGGGGAGUACGGCCGCAAGGCUA